rnacentral:miRNA from 1 species
CGUUGGGCCAUCGUUUGCCGAC